UACAGAGGUCCCAAGCGUUGUUCGGAAUCACUGGGCUUAAAGGCGCGUAGCGGCUUGGCAAGUGGAUGGUGAAAUCCCUCGGCUUAACCGAGGAACUGCCGUCCAAACUGCUUUGCUUGAGACCGGGAGAGGUGAGUGGAAUUCCCAGUGUAGCAGUGAAAUGCGUAGAUAUUGGGAGGAACACCAGUGGCGAAGGCGGCUCACUGGACCGGUACUGACGCUGAUGCGCGAAAGCGUGGGGAGCAAACGGG
rnacentral:rRNA from 1 species